CCUACGGGUGGCACCAGUAGGGAAUCUUCGGCAAUGGACGAAAGUCUGACCGAGCAACGCCGCGUGAGUGAAGAAGGUUUUCGGAUCGUAAAACUCUGUUGUUAGAGAAGAACAAGACGUUAGUAACUGAACGUCCCCUGACGGUAUCUAACCAGAAAGCCACGGCUAACUACGUGCCAGCAGCCGCGGUAAUACGUAGGUGGCAAGCGUUGUCCGGAUUUAUUGGGCGUAAAGCGAGCGCAGGCGGUUUCUUAAGUCUGAUGUGAAAGCCCCCGGCUCAACCGGGGAGGGUCAUUGGAAACUGGGAGACUUGAGUGCAGAAGAGGAGAGUGGAAUUCCAUGUGUAGCGGUGAAAUGCGUAGAUAUAUGGAGGAACACCAGUGGCGAAGGCGGCUCUCUGGUCUGUAACUGACGCUGAGGCUCGAAAGCGUGGGGAGCAAACAGGAUUAGAUACCCCUGUAGUC
rnacentral:rRNA from 1 species